GAACACUUCCAUGGGAGGGACAUCCACAACUUCCCUGGGUCUUCUGCUGGUGUCUUAUCACCUUCAUAGUAAAGAGGGAGUUAUGUUCUCAGGCUGUUCUCAGCUCUCCCCAGAGCCUUCUCUUCUCCGAGCUGAACAGCCACAACUUUCUCAGCCUGUCUUCAUAUGAGAGGUGUUCCAGCCUUCUGAUCUUAGUGUCUCUUCUCUGGACUCACUCUAACAGAUAUGAAUUCUGAAGUACAUGAGAGAGAAAAGGUAGCAAAACAGGUAAUUAAUCCUACCAGUCUAUCUGACAGUAAUAAAUUUCCA